GACUCACAUUGUGAUGCCAAUGGGUGUUAGAAAAAAAACAGUUGGUGGUUUAAAUUGCUUGAUGUUUUUCCUGUUCAUCUGCAGCUUGCUUCCCUCUCAGUAUUCAGCUCAAGUUUAUGAUAUAACUCUUUCACGACCAUUAGCACAGGGACAAAUUCUUGUCUCUCCUGGCCAAAUUUUUGAAUUAGGCUUCUUUAGUCCCAAUCAUUCUGCUAAUAAGUAUGUGGGGUUGUGGCACAAAAGUAUAUUUCCUCGUAAAAUUGUAUGGGUGGCUAACAGAGAAAGUCAUAUUGCUGUUACAGACACCUUGGCUAGUCUGAGAAUUGGUAGCAAUGGGAAUCUGGAGCUCAUAGAUGGGAAGCAGAAUUCUGUCUGGUCAACCAAUAUUUCGGCGUCAUCUAAUAGUUCAUCUGCAGUUCUUUUAGACACUGGAAACUUUGUGCUCAAAGAUGAUAGGGGAGCUGAUUUGUGGGAGAGUUUUGAUCACCCUUGUGACACACUCCUACCAAGUCAGCUGCUAGGAUUUGAUAGUAAAUCUGGAAAGCAAAACUUCUUGACUGCCUGGAAAAGUGAGAAUGAUCCAUCAACUGGGAAAUAUUUGGUUGGACUUACACCUGAGACACCAUCACAAGUGGUCAUUUGGACUAAUAAAUCAACUCUGUGCUGGAGAAGUGGGCCAUGGGAUAAAUCAAAGUUCAUCGGCGUACCAGUUAUGGAUGAUCGGUAUCAAAGUGGUUUUAGUCUAGACGAUAAUGUGAUAGAGGGAUCAAAGUAUUUCUCCUACAAUUUUUAUGACUAUCCUAUCUCCUAUAUUGACAUUUCUUCAGAAGGAAUAGCAACACUCAUGCUUUUUGAAACGGGCAAGAACUGGUAUCUUGACUGGGAAGCACCAUAUGAUCCAUGUGACAAUUAUGGAGUAUGUGGGCCUUUUGGGGUUUGCAAAGCUUCUGAAUCUCAUAUCUGCAAGUGUUUAAAAGGGUUUGUACCAAAGUCAGAUGUGGAAUGGAGCAAAGGAAACUGGACAAGAGGUUGUGUAAGGCAAGCCAAAUUGUUCUGUGAUACUGACAUAACCAACUCAGUCUCAUCAAGAGCAAAACAAAACAAUGAUGGGUUUUGGAAGAUGGUAAGGUUGAAAGUACCAGAUUCUCAUGAAUUAGUUCUCACAUCUUUGGAUGGUGAAAACACACCUGAUUACUGCAAGACACGGUGUCUAAAUAAUUGUUCUUGCCUCGCUUAUGCAUUUGUUAAUAAAAUAGGGUGCUUGGUCUGGUCCAAAGACCUUAUUGAUAUACAGGAGUUUUCGUCUGGUGGAGAAACUGUUUAUAUUCGCCUAGCACAAUCAGAACUAGGUGAUGGAAAGCCAAUAAAGUUAAUUUCCAGUCUUACAGCUAUUUGUUCUGUUAGUAUCUUGGUUGCCAUAGUGUUUGGUUGGCACAGGUUGCGAGCUAACCGAAAGGGACACAACAAAUCAACAACACAGAAUUUUGGAUCGACUACUAUGUUUCAGUCUUCAAGAGAUGCUCUUCGACAAUAUAUAGGAAAGCAUGAUCUAUCAGAGCUAUUGAUCUAUGAUUUUGAUACCAUAUUAAUAGCUACGAAAAAUUUUAGCGACAUAAACAAACUCGGGCAGGGUGGCUUUGGUCCAGUUUAUAAGGGUAUGCUAGAAGAAGGCAAGGAAAUAGCAGUGAAAAGGCUAUCAAGUAGCUCAGGACAAGGUAUUGACGAGUUCAAGAAUGAGAUGUUGUUGAUCUCAAACCUUCAACACAAAAAUCUUGUUAGGAUCAUGGGUUGCUGCCUUAACGAGGAGGAGAAGUUACUGAUAUAUGAGUUCAUGCCAAACAAAAGCUUGGAUACUUUUCUAUUCGAUCCAACAAGAAGAGCAGUGCUUGAUUGGGCUAGGCGCUUUAAUAUUAUUCAGGGUGUUGCUAGAGGGCUUCUUUAUCUCCACCAUGAUUCCUAUUUGAAGGUAAUACAUAGAGAUCUGAAAGUAAGCAACAUUCUCUUGGAUGAGAAUAUGAACCCAAAAAUUUCAGAUUUUGGAUUGGCACGCAUAGUUGAAGGAACACAAAAUCGAGAAAAUACUCAGAGGGUGGUGGGAACACGUGGGUAUAUGUCUCCAGAAUAUGCCAUGGGUGGGAUAUUUUCGGAAAAAUCUGAUGUCUACAGUUUCGGGGUCUUAGUCUUGGAGAUUAUUAGUGGCAAGAAGAAUACCAGUUUCUGUUUAUAUGACCAACAACUAGGCUUCCUAGCCUAUGCGUGGAACUUGUGGAAUGAAGGCAGGGGACUAGAAUUAGUUGAUGAAGUAUUGGGUGAUUCAUAUUCCUCAUCAGAAGUAAUGAAAUGCGCCUAUAUUGGGCUUCUUUGUGUACAGGACAGUGCCGUGGAUAGGCCAACCAUGGGGGAUAUAGUUUCGAUGCUAAGUAGUGACACGGAUGGUCCAAAACCUAAGGAGCCUGUAUUCACUAUUCAGAACUCAUUCUCUCAUCCUCAACCUCAAUAUGGAAAUACUUACUCUACAAAUGAAGCUACCAUUACAGUGAUUGAAGGAAGAUGAGCGAUUGCAAACUGUUGAAUCACAAUGUAUAUCACAGCCUGCAUUGUAAUAUUAAUCAUUCAAUGUUUCUAUCGGUGAAUGUCUUUAUUAGGGUCCAGAACCACAUAUAUGACUGGCACUCUUUUCUUUUUUGUUCUGAAUAUUUGACUGUAGUCUAUAGGAUUAUGUGGUAUAAUUUGUUGGUGCCAGUUAAUUCAUAUACUCAACAGCCAACAAAAAGAAUAUCUAAAAAUCCCAAAUUUUAUAUUUUCAACCAAAACUAGUACAUUUUGGUGCUCUGACCAAGAAUUAUCUGAAAGAAAGAGAUGUCAUGAAGAAGAAUAACCAUCCCUCAAGCAGUCUAACUUGCACUAGACGAGAGGACUGGUCUCUUCUGCUUCUGUUUCAGGGAUGAAAUGCAGCUUGUUGAAUUUCUCAGAUGGUACUAUUUAUAGCUUUGUUCUUGGAAUUUCUGAGUCUUCACCAUUACUCUGCUUUCACUUCCCUUGAUUCCUUUCAGUUACAGACAGCUUGGCUACUUUGAGGAUUGGCAGCAAUGGAAAUCUGGAGCUUGUAGAUGGGAAGCAGAGUUCUGUCUGGUCAACCAAUGUUUCGGUGUCAACUAAUGGUUCGGCUGCAGUUCUUUUAGACAAUGGA